UACGUAGGGUGCGAGUGUUGUCCGGAAUUAUUGGGCGUAAAGGGCUCGUAGGCGGUUUGUCGCGUCGGGAGUGAAAUCCACUGGCUUAACUGGUGGCUUGCUUUCGAUACGGGCAGACUGGAGGUAUGCAGGGGAGGACGGAAUUCCUGGUGUAGCGGUGAAAUGCGCAGAUAUCAGGAGGAACACCGGUGGCGAAGGCGGUUCUCUGGGCAUGUCCUGACGCUGAGGAGCGAAAGUGUGGGGAGCGAACAGG
rnacentral:rRNA from 1 species